GACGAACGCUGGCGGCGCGCUUAACACAUGCAAGUCGAGCGGUAAGGCCCUUUCGGGGGUACACGAGCGGCGAACGGGUGAGUAACACGUGGGUGACCUGCCCUUAGCUCUGGGAUAAGCCUGGGAAACUGGGUCUAAGUACCGGAUACUGACUCCAUGACGCAUGUUGUGGGGUGAAGCCUUGUGCGGCUAGGGAUGGGCCCGCGGCCUAUCAGCUUGUUGGUGGGGUGAUCGGCCACCAAGGCGACGACGGGUAGCCGGCCUGAGAGGGCCGACCGCCACACUGGGGACUGAGACACGGCCCAGACUCCUACGGGAGGCAGCAGUGGGGAAUCUUGCGCAAGUGGGCGAAAGCCUGACGCAGCGACGCCGC
rnacentral:rRNA from 1 species